AGGCGGCUGCUAUACAUGCAAGUCGAGCGGACAGAAGGGAGCUUGCUCCCGGAUGUUAGCGGCGGACGGGUGAGUAACACGUGGGUAACCUGCCUGUAAGACUGGGAUAACUCCGGGAAACCGGAGCUAAUACCGGAUAGUUCCUUGAACCGCAUGGUUCAAGGAUGAAAGACGGUUUCGGCUGUCACUUACAGAUGGACCCGCGGCGCAUUAGCUAGUUGGUGGGGUAAUGGCUCACCAAGGCGACGAUGCGUAGCCGACCUGAGAGGGUGAUCGGCCACACUGGGACUGAGACACGGCCCAGACUCCUACGGGAGGCAGCAGUAGGGAAUCUUCCGAAAUGGACAAAAGUCUGACGGAGCAACGCCGCGUGAGUGAUGAAGGUUUUCGGAUCGUAAAGCUC
rnacentral:rRNA from 1 species